GGAGGUAUAGCUCAGUGGUAGAGUGCAUGCUUAGCAGGCAUGAGGUCCUGGGUUCAAUCCCCAGUCUCUCCA
rnacentral:tRNA from 1 species